rnacentral:lncRNA from 1 species
AUGCUAGACCCAAGCGCUGGGAGCAAGAUGCCCCCGUCUACCGUCCUCAUCCACGACCUCGGAUGCUCUGAGACCCCAGCAAGCCGGCUACUUAGGGGUCACAGUCAGGUCCAGGAGGCUCUGCUCUUGCAGCGAAGAGGGAGACCACGUAAAGGAAGCCAGGCCGGGCUGGCAAGCGGAGCAGCGGCGGGCGCCUCUGCGCUCCCGGGCCCGCCGCACCAGCGCCCCGGUUGCUUCUGGCCGCCGCCGCCGCACCGCCGCGGCCUCAAACCCGCCGCCUUCCGAGCCGCUGCCACCGAGGGAAACGCUCCUCCUUUUCAAGGGCACGGAGGAGGGAAGCUGGAAGGCCGCCAGCCCCGCCUCGACGGGGGCCCGGCGCAGGCAGCUCCCUCCCCGGCUCCGCAACGGGGCGCCCGCGCCCGGAACCAGCGCGCCCCGAGCCCCCGAGCGCCCCGGCCCGGCCCCUCCCCCGGCCGGAGCGGCUCCCCCCGCGGCUCCCCCGGCGGCUGCAUCCGCGGCUCCCCCCGCCGCCGGGCCCCGCUCGCGUCCCUUCCUGGCGCCCCUGCGGCCCCGGGCCCCGGGCCCCUUCCCCGUAACCGCCGCACCGGGCGGGGGGCCGGCCUCAACCGCGAUCCAACUCCGGGCGGCGCGGGGAGGAGCCUGCGGCCUCGCGCAGGGGCCGCGGGAGGGUCCGAGGCCCGCGCAGGCCCCGGGGGGACCCCGCUCCCGGCCGCCCGGCGCUCAGACGCCGCGGCCCGACACCCGCACCGGCUCCGCGGGGCCCGGAGGUCGCGGUCUGCGGCGGCCGCCCCUCCGGAGAAGCCGCGGGUCAGGGGUGAGAGGUCGGGGCCGCGGCCAGGGGCGGGCCGAGGAGGAGGAGGAGGAGGGGCCGGGACCCACCCGGGGCCAGAGGCCCGCGCCCGGCGCGCCCGCCUCACCCCCCGCCGCCGCCGCGGGCCCGCACUCACCGUGGCCCAGGAUCCGGCUGCGGCUAGGCCCCACUCCCCGCUCCGAGCGCCUCUUCCGCUUCCGGCUCGGCCUCCGCCGCGCGGCCCCGCCCCUCGCGUGACGCGGCGCUCGGCGGGCCCCGCCCGGCGGCCCGGCCUCUCUAGCCCGUCCGUCGGAGGCUCGGGGGGCGGGGACCGGCCUCUCUAG